rnacentral:rRNA from 1 species
AGAGUUUGAUCCUGGCUCAGGACGAACGCUGGCGGCGUGCCUAAUACAUGCAAGUCGAGCGGACAGAUGGGAGCUUGCUCCCUGAAGUUAGCGGCGGACGGGUGAGUAACACGUGGGCAACCUGCCCUGCAGAUGGGGAUAACUCCGGGGAACCGGGGCUAAUACCGAAUAAUCAGUUCCUCCGCAUGGAGGAACUCUGAAAGACGGUUUCGGCUGUC